rnacentral:rRNA from 1 species
CCUACGGGUGGCAGCAGUGAGGAAUAUUGGUCAAUGGCCGGAAGGCUGAACCAGCCAUGCCGCGUGAAGGUCAGUGCCCUAUGGGCGUUAAACUUCUUUUGUGCGGGAGCAAUAAUGGUCACGUGUGGCCAGACGAGAGUACCGUACGAAUAAGCAUCGGCUAACUCCGUGCCAGCAGCCGCGGUAAUACGGGGGAUGCAAGCGUUAUCCGGAUUUAUUGGGUUUAAAGGGUGCGUAGGCUGUGAGGUAAGUCAGCGGUGAAAUGCCCCCGCUCAACGGGGUGAAGUGCCAUUGAUACUGCCUGGCUGGAAUGCGGAUGCGGUGGGAAGAAUGUGUGGUGUAGCGGUGAAAUGCAUAGAUAUCACACAGAACACCGAUUGCGAAGGCAUCUCACGAAUCCGCGAUUGACGCUGAUGCACGAAAGCGUGGGUAUCAAACAGGAUUAGAUACCCUGGUAGUC